UACGGAGGGUGCAAGCGUUAAUCGGAAUUACUGGGCGUAAAGCGCGCGUAGGUGGUUUGUUAAGCGAGAUGUGAAAGCCCCGGGCUCAACCUGGGAACUGCAUUUCGAACUGGCAUGCUAGAGUAUGGUAGAGGUAAGUGGAAUUUCCUGUGUAGCGGUGAAAUGCGUAGAUAUAGGAAGGAACACCAGUGGCGAAGGCGACUUACUGGACCAAUACUGACACUGAGGUGCGAAAGCGUGGGGAGCAAACAGG
rnacentral:rRNA from 1 species